CCUACGGGGGGCAGCAGUGGGGAAUAUUGCGCAAUGGGCGCAAGCCUGACGCAGCGACGCCGCGUGAGGGAUGAAGGUCUUCUGAUCGUAAACCUCUGUCAGCAGGGAGGAAGGUUCCGUGUGCUAUUCAGCCUUGAAUUGACGGUACCUGCAAGGGAAGCACCGGCUAACUCCGUGCCAGCAGCCGCGGUAAUACGGAGGGUGCGAGCGUUAAUCGGAAUUACUGGGCGUAAAGCGCUCGUAGGCGGUAUGUUAAGUCAGGGGUGAAAUCCCCGGGCUCAACGUGGGAACUGCCUUUGAUACUGGCAGACUGGAGUGUGUGAGAGGAGAGUGGAAUGCCAGGUGUAGGAGUGAAAUGCGUAGAGAUCUGGAGGAACACCGGUGGCGAAGGCGACUAACUGGAACAUAACUGACGCUGAGGAGCGAAAGCGUGGGUAGCAAACAGGAUUAGAUACCCUGGUAGUC
rnacentral:rRNA from 1 species